GGAGUCAGCAAUGUGUUCAUAAAAAAUUUCACUUCUUUGAUUCAGUCAAAGCAUAUCUUUCGUAUGCUCUUCUGCGAGCAUCUGUCUCUUCAUCUCCAGUUGUUUUUCAGUAUGCUUGUGGUAUGUUUUCAGUUCUGUUGCUCCGGUUUGGAGAGAGUCUGAAGGGGGAAAUUGGUGUCUUCUUUCCUUUGAUAGUUUUAAGGUCUCUGGAUAGCUCUGAUAGCCCCCUCAGCCAGAAGGAAAGGUCG